rnacentral:lncRNA from 1 species
AUGCUCAUCCCUACUUGAUUUAUUAAGCGAAAAAUGAAGUAAGAGCAAAAACGGUACUGAUUAUAUACGCACAGUUACUCUACUCACACUUACGCACCAAGAUAGGAAAGAGUGGUUUUUAUGAGGAUGGUCUUAAGCAGGUUUUCCUUUUCUAAAGGCUCUGAUGUACAAUCUUAAAAUACUAGCAGUGAAAACAAAUUGAGCAUUGGAACUAUUUUAGACAUAAGUUUGGGAUGUUGAUACCUUUUUAAGGUUCUUGUGCUUCCACUUUUGCUUUCACAUGAACAUCAUUGUGAAUACGAAUGAAGACUAUGAGUUGUUUGCGGGGCUUAGUUACCAUGAGCUGUGAAUACGAAAUUACAGGUUCGCCGGUGAUGGGGGUGACACGAUUUUUUGGUUCGUCGGUGAUCUAUACUUUCCAUUGUAGCCGGCGGUGUUAUACUGGUGUUGUAUGGAGUACGAACCUAUUUUAAAGCAUUUCAAGAUGACGAGUACCCGAGUUUUGAGAUUGUAUUCAAGUGAGGCAUAUUGGGAAUGACAUUGCUUUGCUACUUAUCUGAGGUUCGGGUCGAAUUUGAGGUAUGGGAGUGGAGCUGGAUAAGAACAAUUGUAUAUAAGGGGAAUUCGCCCUAAUUUGAGGCACUUGUGUCAGUAUUGGCACAAAACAGUUACAUAUAACAAAGAUGUGUGGCAGUGGAAGGAUGACCAGAUUAAAUAUUCUCUAUAAAGCAGGUGAAGGAACAGUUAGACAGUGAGCUAGAGAUAAAUCAGUGGGGCCCAGGUAUUCUGCUGGAAUAAUAUAGCUACCCCCAAAGUCAACUAAUUCGUGUGGCGAGCUAAUAAUGGGAUAAUUCCUACUUUGGAUGCAAUGGCGGCAAGAGGUAUGACUUUUCUAUCCAUGUCCUGUUAGCUAUGUGGUUAAAUACUGAUUGUAAAUUUUGUAAAUUGUAAUUGCUUUUGAUGCUUUGAAGAUUAGCAUGUGCUUAAAAGCCUUAAUUUGGAAUGAAUCUGAAUUACAACGCUGGAAUGUGUUGAGCUACCGGAAUGUAUGACUGUUCUAACCCUUUAUUAUGCAGCCCUUCCAGCUACAGGAAUCCAAAUAUCUUAGCAUAAAUGCAUGAUUUUUCGUUGGUCAUCAUUAACGGGCAUCAUUUAUGGGUUAAAUUUGCCUUAAUAAAUCAUUCUUAACCUCUGUACUUGUGUAUUCAUUUUCUUCUCCGGUUACUCAGACAUUCUGUUACAAGGAUCACUAAGGUUGUAACAAGGAUCGAUGUUUAUUCAGAACUACCAUCACACGCAGGCAAGCUACGCCGGUGUAGCGGACCGCCACUGUUGCCUCUCCAUUCUUCUGACCAUGAGGUAAUAGUUGAUUACGUUGUAUGUCGAUGUGUGUGUAUGAAUGUGUGCGUUUCAUUUACAGAGUGUGUGUCGAUGUGAGUUUAGGUGCCUAUGUGUUGUGUCGAGUGUGUGCACGCUUAUGAAUGUGUGUGUGUCGACUGUGUUAGAUGACAUUAACAUGUUAGAACGGGAUGAAAAUGGAGAAAAGGGUUGUUAAUGUUGCAUAAUCCAUAGUCUUUUAAGUACAUUGACAGUUUGAGGAGCCUAAUUUUAUAAGGUAUUCUUGAAAAACAGUAUGUACUGUUAAAUAGAUAAAGGUAUGUUGAAGGGUAGUCAGUAGUGUAAGCGAUGAUAUUUACCCAGGUACUGUAACUUAACUUACAUGUUUCCUCGCCAAUCUCACUAGAUUAACACACCUUUAUCUUUUCAAUUAACAGUUUUAAUGGGAACUUAUUCGUAAAUGCUGGUGCAAUUGUUCAAGGUUGUUUGUUGAUUCCAGAUUCUCCAUUCUAUCGUAUCUGGGUUCAAGGUUGUUUCUUGAUUCCAGAUUCUCCAUUCUAUCCUAUCUGGAAGGGCAAUGUGGUUUUUUUGAAUUUGUACAAAAGGCGCAUGCCAGGAAUGUCUCUUAAAGUGUGAAUGCAUUUUAAAAGAAAGAUGCUUAAGAAAAUAAGUUACUUCUUGAUAUUGCUCUAUGGUUGACUUAGAAAUUUAAGAUAACAACCGACUCAUCAUUAGUCUUGACUUGAAAGCUUCAAUAAUGUAGUAAAGGAUUUGUUGUAAAGAGUAGUUAAUUUUUUAAUGUUCACUAUGCGUGAUUGGGGAAGAUGAUCAGGUGAUCUACUAAUAGGUGAUCUGCUAAUUUCUGUAAAACACAAAGGGUAAAAUAUCAACCUUUAUGAUAGGCAAAGAGUUGAGGAAUUUUAAAAAGUCUGAAUAGAUGGGGUUUGCUGAUAUGAACCGAUCAAAGCAACCAAAAGGCGUUCUGGUAUACAUUAAAGUUAGCGAAAGGUGGAAAAUUGUUUGCUUUAGUCACAAUUUUUUUGAGAUAAAAUAUUUAAAUUUUUGAACUUUCGGGAUAGCCUACAUCUUAACUCAUAGGAACUAUACCCUGUAUUUUUCUUUCUUUUUUUUAUGUUUUUCAAUCAUGUUGCUACUAAAGAAACAUGUCACAUUUAUAUUAAGACAAGCCCGAUUCUUAUUUUUACCAAGUAUUAAUAACAAUGCUGAUUGUUCUUCUUUUUACCUCCAUGUACUUGGUGUUUUGGCUUAUUGGAAAUAACAUGAAAGGAGAGAAAUCAUAUUCACAUCACUUGAAUAAUGAUCUCAUUUAAACCAAAUUUGUUGUUUUCGACUGCAUAUUGUUGAAUAGAUCUAUACCAAGAAAAAGUGGAGAAGGUUGAAUGAAUGAGUCUAAGGGUGAGCUUUUCGUGGUUCCGCCCCGUGAGAACCUUUGACCCGACCCUCCAAAAUGGCGAGCAAAAGUUUUCGGUUCUAUGUUAGAGUCGGUUCAGUUCUGAGCCGUCAAACUUAAAUGGAACCAUGAGAACUUAUUGAAAUUUAAAUUGAAAAAAUUUUUUUUUUUGUUUGAUGCGCUAUUACUCUUUGUACAAUUGAGCAUGAUUAAAAAUGAAUGAUGUUUAGUUUUUUUUGUUGGUGCAGAUAUUGUUGUCU